GAGGUCGAGGCACGAUGUGCCGGGAAAGCGGUGUUCCUCCCGGUUGUAGUAGCUCUCGACCUCCCGUUAGCUUAAAUUAAUCUUAAUCCGUCUUAAUUUUUUUUUUCUCCCAUGUCCCCUGCAGGCGCUCCAUAGAAAACCCACCCGAUCGACCAAAAUCAACUCAAAAUACUAGUGAUGGGACGUUCUGUAUCGAGGCUUCGGAGCGUGUGUCGAGUAAUGGAGGGGGCGUUUCCGCGAUCCGCGUAUCGAGGCUUGCUUCAUUUAUGGGAGGAGCUGAAAAUGAUGACGUCCGAAGCCUCGCUGCCCGGCUGUACCACGUGACUGGUUCAUGAAGUGGUUCGAACUUUGCCGCGAGAUAUGACAGCGAUAUAAACCCCUCAGACUUCAUUCAAAAAUGUGGGUGUUUGAUAGAGAGUUGCGGUUAGUGAGAGUUUGGAGACAGUUUGGAGGUUUAUGAGAGUGAGGAGAGAAAGUCAGGAGAGAAUGGAGCCAGCUAAGAAGAGGAGGAUGUCCUCCCCUGUGUGGGAACAUUUUGAUCUUAUUCCUCCCAACAAAGGUAUGUAAAUUUCUACAGAAGAUGUAUUUUUAUAAUACUGAUGGUGCAAUACAAUUUAUGUUAAGCUGUCUUUACUUUUGUACAAGGUGAAGUGUUUGCAAUGUGCCAGGGAGCUGGGAUAUAACAACAACACCUCAUCCAUGCUUAGGCACUACAGAGCUUUGCAUGAGAAUAAGGGGAACACCGAUUGUGGAGCAAGACCAGAAGAACAAUCUCAAAUAGAUGAAGACCUGGUUAGCAUGGUGAUUGAGGACUUCCAGCCAUUUAGCAUUGUGGAGGACAAAGGAUUCAAAAGAUUCGUUAAAUCAUUAAAUCUUAGCUAUGUUCUCCCCACUAAAAAGGUCAUAAAAGCAGUGAAAAUUUAGUUUUUACACAAUAAAAUAUGGGCAGGACUGAGGCCUCAGUGUGUAGCUGUCCAUACCUCAACGUUACAAAAGCACAACUACUGUCCACACCCCAACCACACCUCACCUCACAGUAAAUGAUCAUUUCCAUUUUAAGCAUUUCCAAAUAAUCAUUUUCCAUACUGCCACUAUGAAUAUACACAGUAUACUGCCAUCACUACAAUAUACAUGUUUUACACACUCCUUUUGUUGUUGACAUUUACAGGCUGUGUGCAAAAUGCCACACUCUUCAAAUUCAUGCCAACU
ensembl:lncRNA